rnacentral:rRNA from 1 species
UGGGGAAUAUUGGACAAUGGGCGAAAGCCUGAUCCAGCCAUGCCGCGUGUGUGAAGAAGGUCUUCGGAUUGUAAAGCACUUUAAGUUGGGAGGAAGGGCAGUAAGCGAAUACCUUGCUGUCUUGACGUUACCGACAGAAUAAGCACCGGCUAACUCUGUGUCAGCAGCCGCGGUAAUACAGAGGGUGCAAGCGUUAAUCGGAAUUACUGGGCGUAAAGCGCGCGUAGGUGGUUCGUUAAGUUGAAUGUGAAAGCCCCGGGCUCAACCUGGGAACUGCAUCCAAAACUGGCGAGCUAGAGUAGGGCAGAGGGUGGUGGAAUUUCCUGUGUAGCGGUGAAAUGCGUAGAUAUAGGAAGGAACACCAGUGGCGAAGGCGACCACCUGGGCUCAUACUGACACUGAGGUGCGAAAGCGUGGGGAGCAAACAGG